GAGGCCAAGAAGAAACUCGGUGGUGAGAAAGGCCUCUGAGAACUGGAACUCACGUUGGGCCUCAACUACAGAGGGAAGAAGAGGAGGGACACCAGAAGUAGCAUGAACAGUAUGUAUAAAGGUCUAAGAACAGGAAGUAAGCCUGUUCUGCCCAAAAUAGAGAGCCAGGAAAUGGUAUGGGCACACGGUGCUCCCAGGGGGCUGUAACUGACUGUGUAGCCUGCCUUUCCUCCUGUGGGAAGCUCUCUUGAGAGCACUUCAGGAUGCAAGACAUCGGGCAACCAAGCAGCUGUGCUUCACAGUUGGACCACACCAAGCUUCUGCCUAUGCAGCCAUAGGACUUGCUUUCUGUUUCACCUAAAAGCCCCAUUCUUCACUCCACUGGAGACCCUUUUUCUGGAAUUCACGUGUCCUCCCUGGUCAGUAGCAAAGAUCAAACGCCGAAUCAUCAGCCAGUCCUUCUAUAUGUUAUAAUCAGGAAAAGCAUUACAGGGAGGGGACAGCAAAUUUCCCGUGAAAAGGAGAUGGCUGGGUUGCUGACACAGGCUACAUCAUUGCAGAACCCUGAGAGCAGGGAAGAUGCAGACAGAAA
rnacentral:lncRNA from 1 species